GAAGGCAGGCUGGAGGAGAGGCAGGGACAGGGAGAGCCAGGGCCGGGGUAGGAGCUCCGACGCCGGGGGGUUACAGGGAUGGGAGGCCAGGGGUGGCUGGGGGAAAUGGUAUGAAGGUGGGAGGGCAGGCAGGACACAGGAACUGAGCUAAGGGGGGAGAAAGGUGAGGGAGAUGGAGGCUGCAAUGAAGGUGCCAUAGCUGGAGGAGGAAUGAUAGGCUAAAGAAAGGAUGAGACAGAGGAGGAGGCCAGGUAGGGAAGGUAAAGUGGCAGUGAAGAAGAACCGGGAGAAAGAGUCAAGACAGACUAGGGUGUCAGGGGUUAGACAGAAAUUUUACAUGUACUGCGUAGAAAUGCUAGAUGAUUAUAGGAGAAUACGGUUUUUAAACAGGAGAAGAUUUAUGGUAGAAACUAGGCUAAGCUGGGAGUUAAGACAGACAGACGGGCAGCAAGACAACAAGAGACCAAACAGAGGCAGAAAAGCUAGAUAAAAUCAUUACUCCACCUCUAACAGUGGUGAGUCUGGGUUCCUUAUCCUGACAUGGAUGUAAUGCUGGUUUGGACAGCGGGUGAUGUCCAAUCAGACAACAGGACCACAGGCCUUGUCAUGAUGACAACCGUGACAUCACUGCAAGGACUGGCGGAGAGAAGACAGCGGAGGCCCAGACAGACAGCGGGGAUCGGCGGGGCUGCACGCGGCCACAGCGCGCCGGCCGACGGACCCAAACCGCGCGGACUACCGGAGGGGGGAACAUGCGGAUGGACUGUUUUACCGCCGGCGUCGGGAGUUCUGCCCCGGACAAGCUGAGGCGGCCUCGCCGGAGGAAGCGGGAGGAAGGCUGAGAGAGGAGGCUGAACGAAAUGGCAUCUUGUUUAAUUUCUGCCAAUCGAGACGAGAGGAAGACAACUCCCAAACUGGCAUGAGAGAGUUACAAGAGAGUGAUGACACGAUCAAGAAAGCAGGACGUUGAAUGAACCGGAUGGUCGAUGGGAACCGGGGCAGCGGCUGCUGUAAUCUUCACUGUUCAAUUAGCUGAGCUGACAGGACGCCACCUCCACUUCAUUAACAGGGAGGAAGGUGAUGUUGGAACACAGGAGCCAGUAGUUCAAGAGAUGAAGAAGAUGCUGACAUGUCACACACACACUCACACACGCAGCAGUAAAACACUUGUUUUACUCUGUCAGUAGUGUGAGCCAUUUCCAGGUGAAGCAAAUGAAUUAAAGUGAUUCGAGCUGAACCGGUCUGAACUGGAAUGACCAGAGCCGAAGUGAAAGGAAGGCUUCAGCCGGACAGGACACAGCUCUUUGAAGUGUGUGUGUGUGUGUGUGUGUGUAUUUAUGGUGUAUGGUGUUUAUCUAAGACCUCAGCUGUUAACUGUACAAUGUCAGAUUUCUCUUUAUGUUUUCUUUGCUGUGCUGAUGAUGCUCAUGUUUAUGCACCACAACUUUGUAUGAACUGCUUUGUGUCCAUGUACCUUCAGGAAUUUUGUGGAAUAAAAAAUGUUAUCAAAAUAAAAGUGUGAAGCCACUGGGAUGCUUAUCUGGAGCUACAGGUACAUUUUGGAUUAUAAAACUUAAAAAAACUUCCUGCUUAAGAACUUUUGUCUCGUUUAGGGUCAGACGAACAUUAGCGUUUGCACACUUUCAUUUGAAACUGCAUCCUAAGCAUCAGGAUUUGAUGAUGUCCAGUGAGAAGCUAGCAUAGCAGUGGUGUUCAGUAAAAUGUUUGGUGAGUAGUUACACUUUUAGUUAAGCUGAAGGAUUACAAACAAACACUGUCUUUGCUUUGAGACCAUCUUCUUUCAAAUCCCUUAUCGAAACCAUUAGAUUAUCAAAUGGAUUGUCACCAAGCUAGAGACAACUUUG